GUCAUUGUCAUUCAAAGUUUGUCUGUGGGAUCCCACACGUCCUUCGCUCCGUUCCAGACGAAAAUCCCGGAAAAUGCCUGGAAAUUAACGAAAACCGUAAAUUAAACCGGUAAUUUUUCGGUGCCGCGAGUGAAAUGCACGAUGGCAGUGUUAGUUCCCAAUUUACACGGACAGAAUAUCCACAGUCACCUCACCAGAAGCUUGGAAAAAAUUCUGGAUGAGGCCCAUCAGAGCGGCGAGCUAAAAUUGAGCAAUAGGAAGCUUAAGGAUUUUCCUAAAGCGAAGGAUAAAUAUAAUUUGAGCGACACGGUUAUUGCAGAUCUUUCGAAAAACCGCUUCAACGAGCUUCCCGAAGAAGUAACGGAUUUCCACUUUUUAGAAAGGCUCCACUGUUACCACAACUCGAUCCGGCAUAUUCCUGACACGAUAAGUAGCUUGCAAUGUUUGAACUUUUUGGAUCUCAGCAGGAACCAGCUGACUACUUUGCCAAGGGAAAUUUGUCUUUUACCCAUACAAAUUCUCCUGGUCUCGAACAACCGACUCUCCUGCCUACCGGACGAUCUCUAUAAAAUGUCCCAUCUAACCGAACUGGACGCCUCUUGCAACCAAAUAACCCAUUUCCCCCCUCGAAUGGGAGAGCUACGCUCCUUACAAUCUCUGGUUUUACGCAGCAACCUUCUACUCGCCGUACCAGUAGAAAUAACAUUCUUGAAACUGAUGAGGCUGGACCUUAGCGCGAACAGAAUCAACACCUUACCAAUAGAGAUGCGAGAAAUGGAUAGCAUUAUCGAUUUAAUCAUCGAUGAGAACCCUUUAAUGAGUCCACCAGCUAGUCUAUGUAAACGGGGACGAGUGCACAUCUUUAAAUAUUUGGAGAUUGAGGCGAUGAAAAUCGCAAGUAAAACCGGCGGGAAUACCGGGACUCUCGGGAGAAGAUCGAGGAAGGGCGGGGCGGGAUCUCCCGGACCUUCUCACCUCGCCACGAGGUUAAAACACAAGAGGCAAAAUGUGGAUAGUGGGUACAGUACCAGUAGCGAUUGUUACGAGAAGAGGUGGUCGCAGGAGUUGGGAGGUGACGAAAAGUCUUCUUGGCCUUCAACCCCGAUCUUAGGGCGUAACAUUGACCACAUCAAGUCUACUACUUCCACCCCUUCGACCAUCUCACCCGCCACCGUUGAGGACGAUUUUAGCAAAAACGGAGAUCAUUUAGACAAACCUGACGGACAAUUGAAUGGCACAAGUGCUCGUCUUAGUCCUUGCGGUGAUCUAAUCAUUAAUGGGAACUCUAACGAUGACACACCCAAGAUACAGACUUAUAGAGAGUACAAGGAGGCCUUAAAGCAACAACGCCUACACGACGUACCGUCCAUCUAUCGUACCAAAGACCCGGACGAUCAAUCGCACACCAAAACCGAACCGAACACACCGACGCAUCAUCCACAGAACCAACUCGCCACCUCGAAAUCCGACCCGACCCCGUUAAAUUCGGCCUUCGGGAAUCCCCGAAGUAUUUUCGACGACACGGGCGGCGCCCUGAACGCCACAAAAAAGCCGGUUCAGAAGGUGCAACCGUCGCGGAAUACCAACUUUUCCUCGCCCCAACACACUGCCACCACGACCAACACUAGUGGCGGGUAUUCGAAUGGAACGAAGCUCGGUGGUGGCGGUGGGGUGUACGUUAAACCGAGCUCGCCCCUUAAAGGGGCGGGCGGUGGGUGUUUGGGACACGACAGCGUGCCCGCCAGUACGGGUGCGGCUGUUCAGGCUGUGAUUUUGAACGGAAAAACCAACAACUCGUCCACACUUCCGAAAUUGUCGAUGCCGAAUUACGUAAAUGGCACCACGUCCACACCAAAAUCCACCAACGGAAUAAAAUCGCAGAAAAAUCCCGGUUGGAACAAAGAAGGCGGCGAAAAAAUGACGUUUACCAUGAGAAGGGAGAUCGAUAAGGCCCGCGAGGAGACUGAUCUAAUUAAUCAACUCAGAACGAUAAUAGAGACAAGACUAAAGAUGGCUCUACCGGAAGAUUUGGCAUCGGCACUAACAGAUGGCGUAGUUCUCUGCCACCUGGCGAAUCAUAUCAAACCGAGAUCGGUGGCUAGCAUUCAUGUACCUUCUCCCGCAGUUCCUAAACUUACGAUGGCGAGAUGUCGGCGUAAUGUGGACAACUUCAUAGACGCUUGUCGGAAAAUUGGAGUUGAUGAGGGGCGGCUGUGCACCACGUGCGACGUCACCGAGGCGCUCCAGGGUCGCGGCCUACCCCGUCUAGUCACCACCCUCGAAGCCCUCUGCGAGCUGGUCGACGAGUCGCCCCUGGAACCACCUACAGCCAACAAUUCCGACCUCCGAUCGCAGCUGCCGCCUCAGGAACGACCUACGGACAAUAAUAACGAUGACAACGUGGAAAGGGAAUUCGUGAGGUUACCGCCCACGUGGUGGGACACGUUGUUUUCGUUGGUGUUGUUGUCGAUUUUUGUUAGUACGGUCGCCUUUUUGGUUACCUUUCCUCCGCCAAAUUGAAUCAUUUUUUUAUUUAUUUAUUUAAUAUAAGGGGUUAAUAUAGAAUGAAGGCCGUCUUGUACUGACGACUUGUACUCACAAUGAUGCAGCUUUAUUUUAGGUGAAUCCAUUGUUUUUAAAAUGGAAUUAAAAAAAACACAUCCUAAAAUCUGCUUUCGUGUUUACAACGACGUUUCGACAAUUUUUCAAAUCAAUUUAGUUGGGUCGAUUCCAAAAAAGUGAGGGCCGUUGUGAUACCUAUAAAUUUAAAUACGAUACUGACUAAAAUUUUUGAAAAGGACCUUAAAAUCAAACUACAGGUAAACCUCGAUGAUCCGUCAGGGUGCGACGGAUAUGAAAAAAAGACGGAAAAUAGAAAAAAAUACAAAUUUAUUUAAACAAACUUGCGAACAAAAAAGGAAUAAACAAACCUAUAUAAAAAUAAUAUUAAGUCAUAAACAUGAUGGCUUUUUUAAAAAAAUCUGUGAUUUUUUUUGCUUUAUCAUUUGGAAGCGUUUCUUUCUUGCAAGGUGGCGUAUUUUCCUCAAUAACACUAGUUGAACUAGUUCUGCUUCUUCUUGAUUUUCAUCUCAUUGUAUAAUUUUUGUUACCAUAUCCUCAGCUUCCACAUGGCUAAUGCUAUCUUCCGGAUUAUCUGGUAAGUCAUCUUCACAAUCUUCAUGAUCAGUGGCUUCUAAAGGUUUUAAAACGUGGUUAAUUAAUUCGUCGUCUGGUAAAAUAUCAUAUCCUACAUCCUGUUUGUCAAUAUCUAACCAAUUAGAAACGUCAUUUUCUGAGAUGUCUUCGAAUCCAGGAAGAUUUGAAAAUGUUUGCUUUAUGGAUGAAAUAUUAGGUGUUGGAUUUUCUUUCUGAUCGAGACCUGUAUUUUCGGUAGGCAACAAUUUAUUCCAACUUUUAUUCAAGGUUUCUGCGGGUAUACUGUUCCAAGCUUCAGCGGCAAUAUAUAUGGCCUCUUUUAUGAAAAAUAUUUUCCGAUAUUGUUUUAAGUCCGUAUCUGUCUCGGAAAUAAAUUCUUGGAUAAAAGCCUUUCGAUAUCUUCUCUUGAAACUUUCAAUAACCCCUUGGUCCAUAGGCUGAAUCAAGGAGGUCGUAUUUGCAGGCAAAAAGUGACAAGUUAUUUUACCAUCUUCGGACUUUAACUCUUCAAUAGGAUGAGUUGGCGCAUUAUCCACUAAAAGCAUAGCUUCUUCGGGAAGAUUUUCACGUAAGUAUUUUUUAACUUCAGGUAGAAAACACGUUCUAAACCAAUCAAUUAAUAUCUCUUGACUCAUCCAUGCACUUUUUUGGGCUCUAUAUUUCAUAGGCAAUAAUCCCAAAUCCAUGUUUUUUAAGGCACGAGGUUUUUUUGCUUUUCCAUUGACCACAAGCGGAAGCCUAUGAUCACCAUUUGCCCAUCACGCAUUUGCACAAGCCAUAAUCGUUAUGCGUUCCUUUUGAACUUUAUAUCCAGGUGCUGACAUCUCAGAAGAUGAAGCUAAUGUCGUUUGAGGAAGUGCCUUUCAAUUUAAGCCUGUUUCAUCGCAGUUGUAAACUUGAUUUCUUUGUAGACCACGCUUUUUAAUUUCCUCCCGAAGCUUGUUAACAUAAUCUACCACACUAUUAGCACUUAAUUUUUCACCUUCAAUAGAUAACUGCCUUAUUCCGUGUCGAAAUUUAAAUUUGUCCAACCAUUCGGUUUGGACGGACGGGUCGGUAUUUGGCAAUUUUUUAUUGAAUUCUAACGCUUUUUGUUGAAUAAUCGGGCCUCAUAAAGGUAUUCCCUGACUUCGCUGCUCGGCAAACCAGUAAAACACAACCGCAUGUAAUUCAUUGUGGGUAGCUAAUUUCAUCGUUUUUCGAUGAGUAACAUCACCAUCUGUUGAUUCCAUUUUGCUGAUAUGGUUUUCAAUGAUAUCUCCAUGCUUUUUUAAAUCAUUAAUUGUAGUUCGCGGAACAUUAUAAAAUCUUGACAGUGCUAUAGCGCGUUCUUCCUUUCUUAAUCGACACACAAUUUCAUAUAUUUUUUAGCCAAAUCCAGCACUACGCGCUUUCUUUUAUUAUCAGACAUUGUAAAAAGUGAAACAAAACAGUUUUACAUACACAAACACUGUACACUAAACACUAAACUAAACUAAAAAAAUAAACUAAACACACUGUAAACUAUCCACCCUAUACCUUAAAUAUUGAAACCGAUAUUAGAAGCUAAUUUGCACGAUGCGUUCGUAGUGCAUGCAAGUUAAAACAAAUCAGUCGGUCGCGCGGUCGGGCUCUGUUAAAUCUUUGCCGCCGGCAAAGUUUACUGAAUAAAAUACAAGUUGCUUCACUCGGCGAAAAACCUUUUAUGUUUUGAUCUCAAAGGCAGGGGAAUUCUGGUAAAAAAUACCUAUUAUUUUACGAGUUUCGUCUAAUUUGAACUCCCCUACAGUUCAAAUUAGACGAAACUCGUAAAAUAAUAAGACGGAGCACGAUUUUAUAACAACUUUAUUAUCUGGCAUAAAAUUAUUAUUUAAUGUACCUACUUGGGAAAAAUAUGUAAAUUAAUAAUACUUUAAAUUAUUUGUUUUUAUAGCCACCAAACUAAAUAAAUUUUACAUUAGCAAAGUUUACGUAAUUCAAGAACUAAAUGGUUAAAUUGUUUUUGUUAAUAAUUAGGUACUUAGGUAUCUUAUUAAAAAGGUUGUUUUGGUACGACUGGUUUCAUUAGGAUUUAUUUUUAAAUCAAAGUCAAAAGUUUGUGUAAAAAAAUGCAUAUAUUACUGUUACUAAACGUAACAACUAAAGAUAGAAAUAACUACUAAGUGACAGAAGACAUGUUUAAAUUUUCAAUGAUUGGUUACUACACUUUUUGACGUUUUUGUUAUUUUGUCAGACUAAUAAUAGCAUUACCAAAGACAUUAUAAGUAAUAAACGUAAUGUUUCAUUCAUAACCAGCCCAAAAAUGUGGAAUUUUAUUGUUUUAAAAUUAGUAGUGAGAGAGAAAAAGAUGGAAAAAGUGUUGUUAGUACCCCUUGGCAACAAUGCAUAUUUUCAAUUAAUUUUUGUUUGGUUUGUUGCCAGUGGGGUAGAGCUUAUGCACUAGUGCAAAUAAUAUUAUAAUAAUCGACAAAUUUGUAAUUUUCAUUUCCCCUCCUCACACUCCUUUCAGGAUUGUGUACUCUACAAAUAAUUUUCUAUAUCUAUAGGUGUUGUUUUUGUUGCUCUUCUGCAAUUUUAAAUAGAGGCGAAAAAUUUCAUUACAUAAUUAAUUAACCUUAAUAUUUUUCAUGUGACGACGCUGGUGGUAUAAAUACAAAAGUCUUUUGCUGUUUAAUCGUAUAACAAAUAAACUUAUCGAUGAAACGUUAAAUUUGGAUUUUAGUGCUCUACUCUCUUUACUACACAAGAAUGCACCAUGAUCGUUUAUUUUGGCAUUAAUUUUCUCCAAAAAAGUACGAAAACAACAAAAAACUGAUAAAACACAUUCUAAACACAAAACACGCCCUUAGACUCAAUAAUUUAAAGCGUUUAUUUGUUUUAAUUCCUUGGCAACAUCGCUCGGGAUUCAUUCAUUCAUAAUUUUUGACAGAACUCGAAAAAUAGUAAAACGUGCGUGAGACUGUAGCGCAACGUUGCCGAAGUGACUAAAUUUUUUAAUGCUCCAAGAUAUUUUUGUUUUGACUGCUGCCUUUAUUAAUAUUUUUGCUUUUAAAUUAAGUCGAUAAAAAAAAAUAAAAAUAAAAUAAGAGUUAAAUGUACAAAAGUUCCAUAACGCAUUUAUAUAGCAAAAUAAUAUAAGAAUAAAAUAAGAAGUUGACCAAAAUCCAACUUUCAUAUUUUAUUUUAUGUGAAAACGAAACUUUCAUUUUUCGGAUAUCUAAAAAACAUUAAACCACUUCCACGCUUUGUAAAACAACUGUCUAUCGAACAAUAAGUCGACAUUUUAAUAUAAUAGAUUAUAAUAAUUUGCCAGUCCACCCGGUACAACUAGUAAUAAAAUGCUCGCACAUCAAAUCGAUGUAAACUCUACUCACUGUGUAACCCAACAGAUUCGAUUGUAGGAGCGUCGCCCGGCAAAUGAAGUGAGGAGCGGUGAAUAGGUAAUUCGGCGCGUGGAGCCCAGUGAAGCAAAUUGUAUUUUAUUCAGUAAACUUUGCCGCCGGGCUGCGAAUUAAAUUCUCCGAAUUUAUUUUCAACAACAAGGUGGGGGUGACGAAUAACAGAAGUUGACGAAUAAUCGAGUGCCGGAUAAUCGAGGUUCUACUAUAGUUGAUUUUCUAGAAAAAUAUAAUAUCCUAAAUACUAAACAGUAUAGGAUAUAAAGGCCUUCAAUACAGUCAACGAAGACUUUUGUCAAGGCUGGAAGGGAUAGAAAUAACAGGACUGGACGAAGUCAAUUGGUAAAAAUUUGAUAUUUUCACAGCCAAGAAUUGACAGUUAAUACAGUAUUGAGCUUGGUUCUAUUUAUGAUAUACAUAGAUUAGCUCCUUAAAUUUACUUAUCGCAGUGUUCUGAUUUCAUAUUGCGACGAUAAGGUGUUGUUCAUUGACGAGAAAACCUGGGGAGAAAUUGAAAACUUUGCAAUCAUGAAGUUAUAAAAAAUUGUUUCAUGGAUCGAUGAAAAUUACUUGCGGUAAAUCUAGAAAAGAAAGUUUAUCUUUCUUUUGCACUCACAAAAAAAAAGGUUUACCGAGUAACCCAAUAAACGUGAAGUUACCUUUUAGAAAGGAACAAAACUGGGUCAUCCCAAUUUAUUUGACCGCAAAAUACCUCGCAGUAACGAUCGACUCACGGUUGAAAUGACGUGUACAUACAAACAAUCUUAUUAAAAUAUUAAGAUCUUUACCUUUCUUUGGUACAAUCGUUGCUCAAAUACGGUAUAAUAAGAUGGAGGGCACCUAUACUGAGCACUUAAAUUCUAACUCAUUUUUUAUUUAACCCAGACAUUACGGAAUUAAUUUUUGGAAAGAAAAAAUUAAAAUUCUUGUCAAAAAUGGUUGAUUAUAGUUCCUAAUAAUCAAAUUAAAAUAUUUUAUCCAAUUUUGUUAAACCAGAAUUUUUUUCAAAAAACUUGGGUUCUUUUAAAAGGUCGCUAGUAAUAUGGGGUACUAAUAAUACAACUAAAACUUUUUAAAUCAUUUAUCAAGGCGAAAUAUUCUAUAGUAUGUACUUAUGUUAUACAGUAUGGUACUCCUUAAAGCAAUCCUUGGGAUGCAGCCCGAUGUCACAUUUAUGGCAUCUAAACUGCACUUUCUUGUGACAAUUGCCACAUUUUGUUUGCUUCUCUUGAUAUAUAAUUAGAUGGUCAAUUCCAUCAUAUCGAGAGUAGGCAUGGGCAUUAUUUGAUAAUCUUGGGCGUCCCCUUUUUAAAGGUCUCUUAUAUGUUUCCAGGAAAUUAGUGGCAAUUGCUCUUCGGAAUGUAAGUUGAUCCAUUUUCCCCCCUUGGGGUCGGUGAAUUUGCCAUGCAUUCUGUACAGCCAUAUCAAUACAGUCAGAAAAGAGAGGAUAGUACCAUUUCUUUCCUCGGAUUGAGAUUCUAUAUAGUCCGAUCUUUUGAUCAAAUCUGGUUGAUCAACUAAUAUUAUCUUUUUUUCUUUCUGAGAAUACCGUUUUACUUGCCGAACAGGCUCAGAGGAACAUGCAUUACUAGCUAUAGAUACAACAUUAUUGUCAUUUCACUUACAUACAAAUAUUUUGGAAGCAUUAGACAUACCAUAGGAGCUUUCAAAUUUGCCCCUUUCAGACUUUUUUAAAAUCCUUGAUGAUGGUAAAGGACAUAAACCAAGCCUAUUUUCUCUAAUAGUACCUGUAGCUUUUACACCUCUCUGGGUGAGUACGUCUAAUAAUGGAAGGCUCGUAAAAAAAUUUUCAAGGUAAAAAUGAAAAUUUAAGUUUACUUUUGAUGUAUAUUAGAGCAUCAGCAAAUCGUAAAAUUACACCAGGGCCUAAUCCCAAGUCUUUAUAGGAUUGAGCAGGCUGCUGAAUAAAUGAACCCUGAUAUGGUUCAAAACAUAACUACAUAACCUAGUCUGGUUGAUCCCACCCAAAAUAUGUAGCCCCAGCGAAUAGGUUUUCCGCGUAUAAACUGCCCAUAAUAGGGGACCAUAGCCUCAUCAAUACAGUAAUUUUGUUUAUUCGGAGAAAAUAACAUAAAACGCUGAUUUAAAACAUUGAAGAGAGGCUUCGUUUUAGAAAAUUUAUCAUUUUUAUCGAGAUCAUUAUUAUCGCAGCAAUGAAUGUUUUUCAUUAUAUAUGUAAAUCUAUCACGAGACAUUGCGGAAGCAAUUAAUUCAUUUUGAGAGUCGUUAGCAGUCUCCCAAUACAUAAAUCGUUUUGGUACUCUGUAUUAGAUAUAUAGUACUUUGGUACUCAAAAUACCAAUGAAGCACUGUAUUUCAUCAACGCUUAUAUCUGCAGGACGGUUAUUUUCGCUGCAAUAAUUAUUGGUAUAGAGAUGCAAGAGAUGUAACAUCAUUAUCAAAAAAUAGUUUAAAUAGAUUCAAAGGAGAAAUAUUAUUUGGAGGUUCGACUGGGUUUAAAAAAUUAGGAAAAUCGUUAAGAGCAGCAUUGUUUGUCCAUGAAAAAGAUUUGGCUGGUGUUAUGAUCUCCCCUUGGGCUUUCGUAACAUUUGAAACAAAUUUGGUUUUGCCACAAAGUACUGAGAGAGGAACAUCCUCGUCAGAAUCCGCCUCUAAAUCGGAGUUUUCACAACUUUUGAUUGAAUUCAUGAUUUCGACAGGUGCUCGAAGUUGACUUCCGGGUAAAUUAUUUAGUAUCUACCAAGUCCUCUUCACCUGAAUCUUCAUCGGUAUGGUGCAGUUUCGGGUGGAAAAAUCACUAAUUCUACAGGCGUAUCAUCUUCGUCAAUAUAGGCAUUCUCAGCCUCAAUUAGAAGCUCAUGUAAAGUGAGUGGUUUUUUAUAGCUGAAAUUAAAAUAUAAACAUAAGUAAAUAUACAUACAUAUUAUACAAUCUUUGGUUACCAAUAUCAUUUUUUAAUAAUUGGGUAACAAUUUAAAAAAAUGCAAAUUUAUAAAAAAUAUCUAUAAUUUCACAAAGACACAAAGUAUUACUCUCCAAAGAACAAAUAAUUAUCAUUCUUUUAUUAUAUAUACUGCAUACCUAUUAGAUGCUCAAAUUACUAGCGUUACAAGGCCACCAAAGAUAUCCCUACCGGCAAAACGUAAACUUAUGCAUCUCUUUUUUAUUAUUGCAUAUCGCCAAAGUAAGUAUUUUUAAUUAUAAUUAACAUAAUUUUCAUCCAAUUACUUUUAAUUUGUUUCAUUUACUUACCUCCAAUUACUCAUAGUUUUAUAACAAAAUAUACACGUCACAAAAAACUACUUAGCUUGUAUACAAAUUCGCAAACUGACAGCCACCUGUUUCUAGAAUAUUUCUACAAGUUCCGGAAAUACAAUUCAACAGGUAUAUCAGUCACUCUAUUUUUCGGGCGGUAGCUGUAACGUGAAAUACAGCAUUCUGUGUGGCGUACUUUUAAAAGGACGCUAGUAAUAUUUGGGUUAAAUCGACGAUUUUCCUCAACAGAACUUUUUCAACAUACAUACCAACUAUUAAAUAAAUAUUUUAUAGACAAUCUAUAUGUCAAUUAAUAAAAAAACAAACUAUUAGGACAAUCUUCAACUCAAAACCACAAACAUAGCACGCGAUUUCAAACUUAACUAAAUAUUAUAACAAGCAGACAGAAUAGAGUUAUUGGACAACAAAGCUAUUGCUACGCUGGUAGUUUUUAAUAAAUUACCACUUGAACUAAAACAGAUAAUAAAUCAAAAGCAUUUUUGUUAAUUAAUGUUUACUAUGGCAAAAGUUUAGUUUUCAACAAAAAAAAUAGUAGACACUUUCCAGGAUUUAUAAAGUUUCACUUUUUACGCACUAGUGCCUAAAAAAACACGUUGAAACGUUGAAGUUACUUGCUCUUCUUCCCUUUCAGGGGUCUGUUGGUUUUAAAUUACAUUGAAAGUAUUUUAAGUGUAUAACAAUGAAAAUCCAAUUUCUUAAAUCAAUUACAUUGCACAAUCCAAUCUGUGCAAGAAAAGUAAUAAUAUGAUCUAUUAUAUUUCUUGGUUUGUAUAUUGUUGAAUGCCACUUUUUGGAAUAGCUAUUGAGAUUAUUUAUAUUUAUAAAGGCAAAUUAUUAUAGUAAACUAGUUUUCAAACAAAGACAGGACUUUUCCAAAAACCAUUUUGAAAAUUAGAGAGUAAUCUUUUGUUCCAAGAGUUUUAUACAAUACUUUUUCGAAAAUUUUAAGGUUUAAUAUGAAAAGAAAAAGACUUCUUAUAAAGUAAUUUAAAUUUUAAUCUCCCCGGAGAUGAUGAAAUAUAGUGUCGAAACGUUAAUGUAAACAUAAAAACAGAUUUAUGUGUUUCCUUUUUAAUUGACCCCAAUCUAACUAUAUGUAUUAUUUACGUUAAGAAGCACUUUUUGAGUCACAAACACCAUUUCUACAUUUUGUGAAAAAACAAAAUAUAAUUUAGUGCUUAAAAAAAAAAUAUAUGUUCUAAAGUGAACAAAUUUACAUACCAAAUUUCCUCAUAAUACCUAUAGAAAAUCAAACAAAACUUUCCCAGUGUUCACUCUAAAUGUUCGUGAUAACAUUCCAACUUUGGCAUUUUUUUGCUUAACAAAUAUAAUAUUAUUACGUCAGGUUGUAAUCCUUCCUCUCAGUAUUUACCUAUUGUUUUUCAUAUUAUUUUAAUUUAAUUAGUAUUAACGCUCCUACGCAAAUAUUUGGGUUGCCAGGAAAAAACCGAUUGUCGCAGGUUUUUCGCGAUACCAGUCCUUUAUAAACUUAACAGAUAACGUUUUUCUAAGAAAACGACUGACUUCAUUUAAAAAGUGAUUUUUGCAAUUCUGUGAAACGUGAACAAUUGUUUCUCCUGGCAAACCAAAUAUUAAUUAUAAUAAAAAUAAGAAAAAUAUCAAAAAAAAAAAAAAAAUAGAAGCAUAGAUGAAGUUUAUUAAGUGAAAAUUAUAAAUUCGAGCUGUUUUCAGUGCCUAUUGUUUUAAGUGAUAACGGAAGUAGGGUUAGUGUGCUUUAAGCAUUUCUUUUUGUUGAUUAGGCUUAUAGCUUUUUAGAAAGAAUCGUUUUUAUAAGUUUUCAGCUAUUUUUUAAGAGAAACUUAAAACUCUUAAGGAAUUGUGUCAAAAAUCUCAGGAUUUUUCAAAAUAAAUCAAAAAAACAAAGUAGCGGACCCUUGUGAAAUUUUAUAUUUUUCUAUUAUACAUCACAAUACGCUUAAAGCAUAUUAUGGAAAAGUAGUUAUAGAGCUAUGAAGUAUUUCUUCUUUUUUUUUGUUCUAGUCAACUGACAAAUUUUAGGUUAAGAAUUUCACGCCUGAUCAUUAAAGCUUAGAAGUAAAUCGCUAUAAUCUUUAAUGGUUGGGACCCUCCUCGUAAUAUUUCCCAGUAUUAAAUAACGAAAAAUCAAGACUGGUUACUCGACUAUUCCACUAACACAAGAAUUUCUUUUAUAUUUUUGUUAUUAAAUAUUUAAUAGUUAGUUAUUUUGUUACCUUUUUUCCCCUCUUUUAUUUUGUUUCUUUUUAUGGUUUAGGUUUAAGAGUUCAAAAGUUUUUGUUGUACUUAUUGCAUUGUUUCGGUGCUACGCUUAAAAGUUUUUCAAUAAAAUAUUUAUAUACCAAAA
rnacentral:misc_RNA from 1 species